rnacentral:lncRNA from 1 species
AAUGUAGGGAAAAUAAAGAGUUAUUGCUCGCACAGGCCCUACCCUGCUGCAUACGUAUCUCAAGAAGGAUUGAGAAUCAGAGCACCGUAGCUCGGCUAACCUAUUUUUAAAAAUCAAUGUAGGGAAAAUAAAGAGUUAUUGCUCGCACAGGCCCUACCCUGCUGCAUACGUAUCUCAAGAAGGAUUGAGAAUCAGAGCACCGUAGCUCGGCUAACCUAUUUUUGUUUGUUUUUUGUUUUUUAGAUGAACGACGUUACUACGCAAUCUACUAGAUGCUCGACCUUUGGAG